rnacentral:rRNA from 1 species
GGUUAAGCGACUAAGCGUACACGGUGGAUGCCCUGGCAGUCAGAGGCGAUGAAGGACGUGCUAAUCUGCGAUAAGCGUCGGUAAGGUGAUAUGAACCGUUAUAACCGGCGAUUUCCGAAUGGGGAAACCCAGUGUGAUUCGUCACACUAUCAUUAACUGAAUCCAUAGGUUAAUGAGGCGAACCGGGGGAACUGAAACAUCUAAGUACCCCGAGGAAAAGAAAUCAACCGAGAUUCCCCCAGUAGCGGCGAGCGAACGGGGAGCAGCCCAGAGCCUGAAUCAGUGUGUGUGUUAGUGGAAGCGUCUGGAAAGGCGCGCGAUACAGGGUGACAGCCCCGUACACAAAAAUGCACAUGCUGUGAGCUCGAUGAGUAGGGCGGGACACGUGGUAUCCUGUCUGAAUAUGGGGGGACCAUCCUCCAAGGCUAAAUACUCCUGACUGACCGAUAGUGAACCAGUACCGUGAGGGAAAGGCGAAAAGAACCCCGGCGAGGGGAGUGAAAAAGAACCUGAAACCGUGUACGUACAAGCAGUGGGAGCCUCUUAAUGGGGUGACUGCGUACCUUUUGUAUAAUGGGUCAGCGACUUAUAUUCUGUAGCAAGGUUAACCGAAUAGGGGAGCCGAAGGGAAACCGAGUCUUAACUGGGCGUUAAGUUGCAGGGUAUAGACCCGAAACCCGGUGAUCUAGCCAUGGGCAGGUUGAAGGUUGGGUAACACUAACUGGAGGACCGAACCGACUAAUGUUGAAAAAUUAGCGGAUGACUUGUGGCUGGGGGUGAAAGGCCAAUCAAACCGGGAGAUAGCUGGUUCUCCCCGAAAGCUAUUUAGGUAGCGCCUCGUGAAUUCAUCUCCGGGGGUAGAGCACUGUUUCGGCAAGGGGGUCAUCCCGACUUACCAACCCGAUGCAAACUGCGAAUACCGGAGAAUGUUAUCACGGGAGACACACGGCGGGUGCUAACGUCCGUCGUGAAGAGGGAAACAACCCAGACCGCCAGCUAAGGUCCCAAAGUCAUGGUUAAGUGGGAAACGAUGUGGGAAGGCCCAGACAGCCAGGAUGUUGGCUUAGAAGCAGCCAUCAUUUAAAGAAAGCGUAAUAGCUCACUGGUCGAGUCGGCCUGCGCGGAAGAUGUAACGGGGCUAAACCAUGCACCGAAGCUGCGGCAGCGACGCUUAUGCGUUGUUGGGUAGGGGAGCGUUCUGUAAGCCUGCGAAGGUGUACUGUGAGGUAUGCUGGAGGUAUCAGAAGUGCGAAUGCUGACAUAAGUAACGAUAAAGCGGGUGAAAAGCCCGCUCGCCGGAAGACCAAGGGUUCCUGUCCAACGUUAAUCGGGGCAGGGUGAGUCGACCCCUAAGGCGAGGCCGAAAGGCGUAGUCGAUGGGAAACAGGUUAAUAUUCCUGUACUUGGUGUUACUGCGAAGGGGGGACGGAGAAGGCUAUGUUGGCCGGGCGACGGUUGUCCCGGUUUAAGCGUGUAGGCUGGUUUUCCAGGCAAAUCCGGAAAAUCAAGGCUGAGGCGUGAUGACGAGGCACUACGGUGCUGAAGCAACAAAUGCCCUGCUUCCAGGAAAAGCCUCUAAGCAUCAGGUAACAUCAAAUCGUACCCCAAACCGACACAGGUGGUCAGGUAGAGAAUACCAAGGCGCUUGAGAGAACUCGGGUGAAGGAACUAGGCAAAAUGGUGCCGUAACUUCGGGAGAAGGCACGCUGAUAUGUAGGUGAAGUCCCUCGCGGAUGGAGCUGAAAUCAGUCGAAGAUACCAGCUGGCUGCAACUGUUUAUUAAAAACACAGCACUGUGCAAACACGAAAGUGGACGUAUACGGUGUGACGCCUGCCCGGUGCCGGAAGGUUAAUUGAUGGGGUUAGCGGUAACGCGAAGCUCUUGAUCGAAGCCCCGGUAAACGGCGGCCGUAACUAUAACGGUCCUAAGGUAGCGAAAUUCCUUGUCGGGUAAGUUCCGACCUGCACGAAUGGCGUAAUGAUGGCCAGGCUGUCUCCACCCGAGACUCAGUGAAAUUGAACUCGCUGUGAAGAUGCAGUGUACCCGCGGCAAGACGGAAAGACCCCGUGAACCUUUACUAUAGCUUGACACUGAACAUUGAGCCUUGAUGUGUAGGAUAGGUGGGAGGCUUUGAAGUGUGGACGCCAGUCUGCAUGGAGCCGACCUUGAAAUACCACCCUUUAAUGUUUGAUGUUCUAACGUUGGCCCCUAAUCGGGGUUGCGGACAGUGUCUGGUGGGUAGUUUGACUGGGGCGGUCUCCUCCUAAAGAGUAACGGAGGAGCACGAAGGUUGGCUAAUCCUGGUCGGACAUCAGGAGGUUAGUGCAAUGGCAUAAGCCAGCUUGACUGCGAGCGUGACGGCGCGAGCAGGUGCGAAAGCAGGUCAUAGUGAUCCGGUGGUUCUGAAUGGAAGGGCCAUCGCUCAACGGAUAAAAGGUACUCCGGGGAUAACAGGCUGAUACCGCCCAAGAGUUCAUAUCGACGGCGGUGUUUGGCACCUCGAUGUCGGCUCAUCACAUCCUGGGGCUGAAGUAGGUCCCAAGGGUAUGGCUGUUCGCCAUUUAAAGUGGUACGCGAGCUGGGUUUAGAACGUCGUGAGACAGUUCGGUCCCUAUCUGCCGUGGGCGCUGGAGAACUGAGGGGGGCUGCUCCUAGUACGAGAGGACCGGAGUGGACGCAUCACUGGUGUUCGGGUUGUCAUGCCAAUGGCACUGCCCGGUAGCUAAAUGCGGAAGAGAUAAGUGCUGAAAGCAUCUAAGCACGAAACUUGCCCCGAGAUGAGUUCUCCCUGACUCCCUGAGAGUCCUGAAGGAACGUUGAAGACGACGACGUUGAUAGGCCGGGUGUGUAAGCGCAGCGAUGCGUUGAGCUAACCGGUACUAAUGAACCGUGAGGCUUAACCUU